CGUGUAGGCGGCCUUUUAAGUCAGACGUGAAAUCCAUGGGCUUAACCCAUGAAUUGCGUUUGAAACUGGAGGGCUUGAGGAUCGGAGAGGGCAGUGGAAUUCCCAGUGUAGCGGUGAAAUGCGUAGAUAUUGGGAGGAACACCAGUGGCGAAGGCGACUGCCUGGACGACACCUGACGCUGAGGCGCGAAAGCUAGGGGAGCAAACGGGAUUAAAUACCCCGGUAGUCCUAGCCGUAAACGAUGGGUACUAGGUGUGGGAGGUAUCGACCCCUUCCGUGCCGCAGUUAACACAAUAAGUACCCCGCCUGGGGAGUACGGCCGCAAGGUUGAA
rnacentral:rRNA from 1 species